rnacentral:snoRNA from 1 species
ACCAAAGGCAGAGUAAAAACACGGCUUUCGGGUGAAGCUGUAGCAUAUUGUUUUGCUUCAACUGGUGGUAUAAUAAGA